rnacentral:lncRNA from 1 species
UUCACUUUCUAUUACCCCUUUGCUCUUUCAAGCAAAAGCUUCAGUAUUCUUAGCCAUGACAGAAGCUUGCAUCGCCGAUUUUGAGUAAUUUCUUUGUUUCUCUUCAAAACUCGUGACUCCUCUCUCUCUCUCUCUCUCUCAUUUGCAAUGAGAUUUAGUCAACAAAAGAGGCCAAAAGAGUUUUGGCAUUUUGAUUUUCUGAGAUGGAAAGAACUGAUUUUCAGGGAUUUGUUUCGAUCUCGGAGGACUUUCUCAGACCAAGCCAAAUGAACAUUAAAUUCGCAAUGUUCGGAUUCAAACGGCUUUUUGACUCCAUUUCAAAAUCAAAAUCUGAAGAAUUUCGACUAAAGAAUCCUAGCUCUAAUCUGCCGCUAUAAAUACCUAUGGUUGGCAAUAAUUUUGAGGACGGAGGAGGACACGGUAAAAAAUAUUAAGGUUCAGCCGCCACUCUACUCCUCAAACUUUACUAACUAUGAAAAGCUUUAGUCUCAUUUUCUCAACUUAAACAACAGAAACGUUUCAUUCCCUAAUCUGAACUUUCCUAUCCGAGAACUCUCUCAAACACGGCCUAGAAUCAAACACAGCUAAUUAGCCAUUGUUAUUCUCUUUCAAAACAUCUCUGUCUCUGUUGACUUUAAGCAAAGCAGGGAGUUUUCAGUUCGCACGAUUGUAGUUCGAAUGUGUUCGUGAUAAAAGAGUAGAUUCGAGAUCGACGUCCCCAGUCUCACUGCCCAACAACAGGUAAAAUCUGACUCAUCUCGAUUUAUUUUCUUUGUUUAAAUACUCUUAGAAAAUCAUGUGCUAUGCUUUCUUUAUUUUGUCGCGUUGAUGUGUGUUAGUGACAAUUUGAUAAGGAUAGAAUCAUGUUCUACGACUUGUAUGUUUAGAUUUUUUUUUCAUUGAAUCCUCUUGGUGAAACUGUGGUAUUAGCAACUGUUUCGGAUAGUGAAGGAGCUAUUGAUGAUAUUUGAGUAUAAGCCAUGCCUUAAGACUAAUAUGCUUUAUUUUUUGUUAAAUAAAUCACAUAGAAAAUAUUGUAGUUCUCCGCUAAGCUUGGGUGCCGAAUAGUGAAAUUCUUUAUGUAGUAUAGUUUAAAUAAAAAAAUACUCUACUGUUUUGUUUGGCUCAUUGUUUCGGUUAUGUGGGAAUGCGAUUCUAGCGAACUGUGUUGAAGACUCAUUCAUACAUAGAAGUCAUGCCCUAGGCUUACACAGCUCCUAUUCAACUUGAAACAACACCCUUUUAUUUUACACUUGUAUAACUCAGUACUUAAGUUUAAGACCGAUAUUUGUGUUUCUUUCCUAGUUACUCUAAUCACAUGAACUCGUAUGUAAUCAAACCUUUCUUCUAUGUGAUAGCCAAAAGUGUCAAUCUUUGUUUAUUUCUUCGUUCUUAGUAAGUUUUUUUAAAAUUCUGUUCAAGUGAAAGAUAUCAAUUAGUAUAUAAUGCAUUGAAUAAGAAUGUGUUUAGGUUUCAAGUAAAAUAAUUGUUAAUGUAAUAGAAAUUUAUUAGACAAGAGGGGUUGCUCUGAUGGUAAGCAGCCCUACUUCCAAUCGAGAGGUUGUGAGUUCGAGUGUCCCAAGAGUAAGGUGGGAAGUUCUUGGAGGGAAGGAUGCCGGGGGUCUAUUUGGAAACAGCCUCUCUACCCAAGGUAGUGGUAAGUCUGUGUACACACUAUACUCCCCAGACCCCACUAAGUGGGACUAUACUCGGUUGUUAUUAUUGUUGUUGUUGUAAUAGAAAUUUAUUAACAUCCAGUAGAUUAAUAGUAAUAUGUAGUUUAAUUUUAUUUAUGUCGUACUUGACUAUUUAAGUACCGCUAGGAAGACACGUGAUUUGUUGAAUAUUUCUUGUCCUUUGAUGAAUUAGACAUUGAUUCAAAGGAAGUUUUGGUUUUACAUGGCCAUGAAUCAGUUGCGCUUUUGCUUUCUUCUUGCUAUACAUAGUAAAAUACCCCUCCAAUUCCUUGCUCUUUCUUUGUUUCUGCAUGAACACUGGAGCCGACGAGUUUUACUUUAAGACUCAACGACGUCGUAGCACUACAUGGAGUCAUCGUUAUUUGUUCUAUCUUAUUGUCGAACCUCAUAGCAGAAAACCAUAAAUUGAUCCUUAUAGGAUGUCAGCGGGGACUACCCGUUAUGCUACUUUAAUCUUCACUUUGCUAGUUUUCUCCCUUAAUCUUUAUAUUGCCGAUCUGUUUUUUAUACGAUUGUAGUUUUUUAUAAACUUGUGAUUAACCUUACUUAGGAUUUAUAUUCUUUACUAGCUCACUCAUAACAUGGAGAUAUAACAACUGGCUUAAAAACUUUAAAAUGUACGGCCUGACAAACGCACAUUACAAUUUAAGAAUAAUGGACAGGCAUGUAAUUAUUGGGGGUGGUAUUUAAAAAAACAAAUGACUACGGUAUUUUACAAAAAUCUAAACUUGGUUUUGUUUCUUGAGCUUUAGAUAUAUUAAAAGACAACGUGAUUUUAAAUACUAGUGUUCUAACAAAAACUGACAUUUUUGAGUCCUAGGCAAAUCAAGUUUUAUUUAAUUAUGAAUCCUAAAUACAUUUGUAUAGAAAAGAUGAAAGCAUUUUGGCCUUAAAUCAUUUUUGUGGUAAUAUAACUUUUUAUUUUAAAAUAAUCCAAUUCUGCUCCUAUGUUAUUUGAAAUCAUUCAAAUCAUUUUUUGCAAGGCUUUCGACCAUUUAAUCUCGCAAUAUAAGCUAUUACUUUAUUAAUAUAAAUCAGGCAUAUUUGUUUAACUCAACGCUUUGCCUUAAUUAAUUUUAGUUCAAUUGGUUAACUAUUUUAAAAUGGAUCUUAAAGGGUGCCUUAAAAACCUUCCCUUUAAAUUAAUUGAACCCUUACCUAAAAAUUUUAGGUUAAGUUGAUUGGUAACAGAGUUAUACUUUAAAUUACUUUAAUCACUUUAGGAGUCCUAAUUCACCGUAGAAUUAAUUAGGUGGCGACUCUUAACUUUAGUCAUACUCAGAAUUGCCUAUAUAUUGUACCUUAAUUUGACAUGUAUUAAAAUGGCCUAUAACAGGUACGCUUUCUUUUAAUUUUAACUGACUAUUUCUCUAAAUGCAUGGAAGCAGGUGCAUACGCCCAGAUACGCGAACAGGAGUUCAUCGCUUUAAUAUGAAAAAAUAUUAUAUGUCGUUUUGGCAUCUCCAAAGAAAUUAGCUGUGAUAAUGGGCCUCAGUUCGUCGGUAGGAAAACAACUGAGUUCUUCGAAAAAUGGCACAUCAAGCGGAUACUCUCCACUCCGUAUCAUCCCGCCUCCAACGGCCAAGCCGAGUCUUCCAACAAAACAAUAUUGAACAUAUUGAAAAAGAAGCUCGAGGAAGCUAAGGGGCUAUGACUCGAAUUACUACCUGAAGUACUAUGGGCAUACCGGACUACGCCCAAGUCCAGCACGGGAGAAACAUCAUACUCACUAGUCUACAGGACCGAUGCUGUCAUACCUAUCAAGGUCGGGGAGCCAAGCCUGAGAUAUUCCCAUGCCAACGGGUUAGAUAACAAUGAAAGUAGGUUGCAAAACCUAGGUGAAGUUGAAGAACGGAGAGACAUGGCCCAUAUAAGAAUGAUAGCCCAAAAAGAGCAGGCAGAAAGAUACUACAACAAGAAAACCAAAGUAAGAUCAGUCAAAACCGGUGACUACGUCCUCAAAGCCAAAACACUAGCAUCAAGAGACCCGAAUGAGGGAAAGUUGGGAAUCAACUGGGACGGACUGUAUAAAAUCAUAGCAGCCACAAAUAAAGGAGCGUUCCAACUAGAAACAAUGGAGGGAAAACCGCUCCAAAACAACUGGAACAUCGCCCAUCUCAAGUACUUCCACUUCUGAAAAGGAUCUCCUAAGUCAUACUCUUUUUUCCUCACCCGAGUUUUGCCCCAAUUAGGUUUUCUCGGGAAGGUUUCUAAUGAGGCGACAAAGAGGAUACCCUACGGAUCAGAAGGUACUUCAUCACAUCGGCCUGUCGUCACGAUCUCAAGACCGGUGUAAUGAAGGGACUACACUAGUUAAUCUCCAUCGUAUGAAUGGAUAUCUCCAUUGUAUGAACAGAAAUCUCCAUCGUAUGAAUGGAAAUCUCCAUUGUAUGAAUAGAAAUCUCCAUCGUAUGAACGUAAAUCUCUAUUGUAUGAACAGAAAUCUCCAUUGUAUGAACAUAAAUCUCCAUUAUACGAACGAAAGUCGAAUCUCCACUAAACGAACAUCCUAAUGGCCAAUGCCAUCGACAUUUGUUCGACUUUGUUCGAACUACGACAGAUACUACUUUGACGAUAGUCGAAGCAACAUCCUGAUGGCCACGACCAUCGACACUAGUUCGACUUUGUUCGAACUACGACGGAUACUACUUCGACGAAAGUCGAAGCAACAUCCUAAUGGCCAAGGCCAUCGGCAUCAGCUCGACUUUGCUCAAACUACGAUAAAUACUACUUUGAUGACAAUCGAAGCAACAUCCUAAUGGCCAAGGCCAUCGACAUUAGUUUGACCUUGCUAGAACUACGACGGAUACUAUUUCGACGACAAUCAAAGCAACAUCCUAAUGGCCAAGGCCAUUUACAUCAGUUCGACCUCGUUCGAACUACGAUCUACUUCGACGACAGUCGAAGCAAUAUCCUAAUGGCCAAGGCCAUCGGUAUCAGUUCGACCUUGCUCGAACUACGACGGAUACUACUUCGAUGACAAUCAAAAAAAUUUCCUAAUGGCCAAGGCCAUCGACAUCAGUUCGACUUGUUCAAACUACGACAGAUACUACUUCAAUGAAAGUCGAAGCAACAUCCUAAUGGCCAAGGCCAUCGACAUCAAUUCGACCUCGCUCAAACUAUGACGAAUACUACUUCGACGACAGUUAAAGCAACAUCCUAAUGGCCAAGGCCAUCGACAUCAGUUCGACUUUGUUGGAACUACGACGGAUACUACUUUGACGACAGUCGAAGCAACAUCCUAAUGGCCACGACCAUCGACACUAGUUCGACUUUGUUCGAACUACGACGGAUACUACUUCGAUGAUAAUCGAAGCAACAUCCUAAUGGCCAAGGCCAUCGACAUCAAUUCGACCUCGCUCAAACUAUGACGAAUACUACUUCGACGACAGUUAAAGCAACAUCCUAAUGGCCAAGGCCAUCGACAUCAGUUCGACUUUGUUGGAACUACGACGGAUACUACUUUGACGACAGUCGAAGCAACAUCCUAAUGGCCACGACCAUCGACACUAGUUCGACUUUGUUCGAACUACGACGGAUACUACUUCGAUGAUAAUCGAAGCAACAUCCUAAUGGCCAAGGCCAUCGACAUCAAUUCGACCUCGCUCAAACUAUGACGAAUACUACUUCUAUGACAGUUAAAGAAACAUCCUAAUGGCCAAGGCCAUCGACAUCAGUUCAACCUCGUUCGAAUUGCUACGGAUACUACUUUGAUGAUAAUCGAAGCAAUAUCCUAAUGGCCAAGGCCAUCGACAACAGUUCAACCUCAUUCAAACCACGACAAGACCUUUUUAGCAAGUAAUAAAAGCAAACUCUAUGGAGGCUAAGUAUCAUAAAAAAACCCAAAGAGGGAAAGGUGUAAAAUAAAUAAGGCGACAAAAACAAAGUUUAUAUUACAACAAAAAUUGUUUCCAUUCGUCCCUACGGAUGGGCUUUAGUACAACCCACAACCAAAAAAAUAUAUACAAACAAAAAUAUACGAAUUUAGAACUACUCAUCACCCCCUGUGGGAUAAACGUCUUCAUACCAUGAAUCUGAGUCAAGGGGAUUGACGUCCUCAGAAGCAGCACCCUGUUAUAAGGAGAAUUGGGGUAGUACCCACAUGAUUCGUGAGCUAUGCGAGCCUCGUUUCACCUCGCCUGAACUUCCUCCUCCGUCACCCAGCCCUCGAUAUGAAGAGCUAUAUACACAUCAAGUCGAGAUUCCGCAAAGACCCACAUCUUAUAUGUGCUACGAGGAGGACCUCGACCAGAUGAGAUGGGCCGAGAAAGGUGAUCCACUUCCUCUUACCUCGGCGGAGCGAUCUGCCUUUACAGCUCAGCCAACUUAUCGGCGCUAGCACUUAGCUCGUCCUUGAGUCCAUCAAUUUCCACCAUCCUAACACCAAGUUCGGCGGCCAAAUCAGCCACCUUUUGCUGCAAGUCGGUAUUCUCCGCCAUCACCUUCGACUCAAUUCGAGUUCAUCAUUCUUUGCCUUAAGGAGGGCCUCCAAUUCGUUGUUACCCUACGGAUCAGAACAUCAGCUCCCCAUCCGUAUUUUCCAGCUCCGCCCCUUUGCGUUCCAACUGGGCCUCCCUCUGUUUAAGUCCCUUAUGGAACACUUGAAAUUCAGGAUCUGCUGGUAGAGGUCAACCACCGCUUGGUGCUUAGCCCGGUAUUUUCGAUAUGUCUUCAACAUCUUUUUAUAGAGGUACAUCCUCUUCCGCUCACGACGGCCUCUCUCCACCUCCAAGAUGCGGGUCUGAGAAGAAAACAUAAGUAAGCACAUUCCUAGGUCAACCCUACAAUACGCAAAAAAAGGGGGUUAGGGAUAAAAAAACUACCUGUAAGGCCCUGCCGGCAACUCUCCGAGACAGCUCUGCAUCAAUCAUGGUUUUGAUCAUCUCGCUCUCAAGAGCCGCACAUAAUAGGGUAAGGGUUGGUGCAACCUGCUCACUAUUUAUCAGCAAGUUAUAAUCUCCCGGGAUCAUAAUGCGACAGUCAGACCCAUUCGUUGUCAUCUGCACAUAGGUGUGACCACCCAGGAACUCGUUAGUUGAUGAACCUCCCUCAACUGCACGUACCGAACUAGUACCGGGGGCGACACUCCUCUCCUGGGCCAACCUCCCCGAUUGAAAUGGCAUCAGCUAUGAACACAGGCCUUGGAAUCAUCCGGGGUGCCCCGCUUCCGUCAGUUUUAGUGGCCACCCCCUUUCCUAUCUCCAACCUUCUUUUUCUCUCCAAUGGCUCUUCACCAGCAGAAGAUUAAUCGAUGGGUUGCGAGGCCUGCUAACAAUGUCGAUUCCUCCAUAGUCGCAGUUGCGGACGUGGCCCCCCAUUGGGAAGUUAGAGGAUGACCCUCUCAGACAGUCUCGCACAGUAUAUCACGAGCAUCUGAGGCGACGUCAGGUCACAUAAAAGCAGGGACUGGCUCCCUCCUCCUAGAAGCACCAAGGCAUGUUACCAUAAAAUCACACAAGUAAGCAAGAUUGCAUAAAAUAUGAGACAAGAAUUUGAAGUCUACUUGAAGAGACUUUGGGGCUGUAGCUUUGCAUGAAGGCAGGCCAAGAAUGAAUCUCUUCCGCGUGAGGUAGUAGGCUGGUGACCUAGUUCCUGAAACCAAUGAUGGGCUAGGGCGGACGAGCCAUGGAUGUAAUACAAGAAUCAAAGGUGAAAUAAUAACAGAUAACGAGGAACUUAACAAAUGGCAACACUUACUUGACGGGUUCCACCUCUCCAGGAAUCUUGUGGAGUUAGAGACCACGUGCUCGGUCCUAACAAAGAAAUAUUUAUGUCAGAAUCCACGUCUUGCUCGCUAGUCAGUUCCGACAACUAAUCCCUUUGUACCAUGAAUUCUUAAAUACACCAUGGUCCCUCUUAGGAAACAUGCGGUAAACAAGUGUAAGAGAUGAUGAACCGAGACCUCACAUUCGGCCAACUCUGCGUAUUUGGUCAGCAGUAGAAGCACUUUAAGUGUAUACGGUGUGAGUUGAUUCGGGCAGAUGUUAUAGAACUGUAGAACUCCUUCGCCAAAGGAAAAAAAGGAAGGCCAUAGCCUGUCAUAAAUGGGUAUUCGUAGAAGGCACAAUACAAUGGCCUAUGAACGUCAAUAUGGUCUCCCCCGUUGGGAUCAUCUCUAUGUUGGUAGGGAUACCAUAUUUAGUGCAUAGGUCAUCUAAAUGGUUCUGUUCUGACUCGGAAAGCACUGGAACCGUAGUGGGAAAAUCCUUAUUAAAAUCACACCGAGACGAAGGAUGCCUCAGUAAUAAUGCGUCUACCGUAAGAGGACUGAUAUCGUAUUCUACCUCCACUUCUCCACCAUCAGAAGAGGGUGGUGCAUUCAACGGAACAACCACUGAAACCCUUUCAUUGUUAUGUCGAGGUUUAGGCAUGAUGUUUUUCUAGAGAGAGUUGCACACAAUGCAAUGAAGAAGAAGAAGAAAACCCUCGUUCAAAAGCAAAAGUACAGGAAUGUGAAAAUCUAAACUGAAGGGUUGGAAAACUCUUACAAAUGAUCAAAGUUUGAAUUAAGUUUAAUCCUUCCCCUAUUAAAAUGGUUGGGUGGCACCAAAAUUGAGGUGACAGACUUUAAAUCAGUGCGGGAAACCAAGGGCCAAAGCAUCAGUUUUCCUGCCUCGAGAAUAUGCCCAAUGAUGAUGCAUGUGAAUGAUGAUGUCAUCAAUGGAAAAGUAUUUUAUUUCGAUGUUCUAACAGUUAUGAUUACCGUCUACCAUCGACCACAUUAUAACCCUUUGACAAGUCAAAGCCUCCCUGAGCGGAGGCACCGGUUCCGCCCAUCGUGGACGCAUCUGGCUAUGACCCCAACGAGCGAAGGGACUAACUUUAUGGGGUUGUAUUUGACCGAUCACGUCCCUAAGUCAACGCGACCAACCACCGAAUAUCCAUGAGCCGAUACAAGGGGACGAACCAGGGACAAGAGGAGAAACGACCUCGCGCCAUCGUCGGUUCUGCUAUAGGACGUACUUUAGUUUUGUCAUUCCAACAAUUAAAUAAGGAUUUUCUAUUGUAUAAAGGGGAUCCGAGCCUUGUAAUAGGCAGACAAUUUUUAAUGUACAAACUCUCUUUCUCUCUCAUCUCUCUACUGCCUCUUCUCUUUCUUUUACUGUUAUCAUCCUAUCGAAUAUCCAGAUUAUCCUAAGGUUUAUUAUUCUCGAGUAAAAUUUACGCAUUCAUCUCUUUUGAUUGAUUUGCUCAAAAAGUAUUUAACAACUUUUGACUCAAACAAUUUGCAUUGAAAAUGUUAUUAACUUGGCCGUUAGCUUGACUUACAUCAUCAACUUUAUCCUCUUUCGUGCAACAGGUGAUAUCAUGCAUUCCAGGAAGUUGAAGGACAAAUUAACAAUUUGAUCAAAAUCCAACAAAAAUUGCUUUUACUCGUAAUCUAUGCUUCCAAUUUUCCAACAACUCCUGCAC